UACGAAGGGGGCUAGCGUUGCUCGGAAUUACUGGGCGUAAAGCGCACGUAGGCGGGUCAUUAAGUCGGGGGUGAAAUCCUGGAGCUCAACUCCAGAACUGCCUUCGAUACUGGAAGACUUGAGUCCGGGAGAGGUGAGUGGAACUGCGAGUGUAGAGGUGAAAUUCGUAGAUAUUCGCAAGAACACCAGUGGCGAAGGCGGCUCACUGGCUCGAUACUGACGCUGAGGCACGAAAGCGUGGGGAGCAAACAGG
rnacentral:rRNA from 1 species